UAGCCAUAGGACAGGACAAGGUGUUAUCUGUGGGUAUCCAGUGUAUGUAGGGCCAACCAUAAGACAGGUUAAGGUGUUAUUUGGUGGUAUCCAGUAUAGGUAGGGCCAGCCAAAGGACAGGACAGGGUGGAUGACUUUCCUUAUUAUAUGGUGAUAUCUAAUAUAGGUAGGGCUAGCCAUAGGACAGGACAAGGUGUUAUCUGUGGGUAUCCAGUGUAUGUAGGGCCAACCAUAAGACAGGUUAAGGUGUUAUUUGGUGGUAUCCAGUAUAGGUAGGGCCAGCCAAAGGACAGGACAGGGUGGAUGACUUUCCUUAUUAUAUGGUGAUAUCUAAUAUAGGUAGGGCUAGCCAUAGGACAGGACAAGGUGUUAUCUGUGGGUAUCCAGUGUAUGUAGGGCCAACCAUAAGACAGGUUAAGGUGUUAUUUGGUGGUAUCCAGUAUAGGUAGGGCCAGCCAAAGGACAGGACAGGGUGGAUGACUUUCCUUAUUAUAUGGUGAUAUCUAAUAUAGGGUCAAUAACUAUCAUUUACUAUAACCCGGUGGUGAAAAUCUCCUUAAAGAAGCACAGGUGCUCACCUGGCUACCAGGACCUGGCCUCACAGUGUAUGGAGUAUCGGGUUUUCUGAUAACGGUUACCUCUUCAUGCACUAUUCAAAUUGAACUGUCAAGAAAUACAAAAGAUAACAGGACUUGGUAGAAAA